GCCUGGGUGGCUCAGUCGGUUGAGCGUCUGACUUCAGCUCGGGUGAUGAUCUCAUGGUUGGUGGGUUCGAAUCCUGCGUCCGGCU
rnacentral:tRNA from 1 species